UUCAAGAGUACGUGAAACUGCUUAGGGGUUAAGCCCGAUGAACCUAAAUAUCCAUGAUGAAAAAUUCAUCAUUAAUAAUAUAUUAUAUAAAAAAUAAUAUAUAAAUAGUGUGCAAUUUUUUCAUAUAAGGACAUUGUAAUCUGUUAAUAUUAUAUAUUUUAUUAUAUGUAUUUAUCAUAAGAAUCGUACGAAUAAGUUUAUACAUUUUUAAUUUUUUUAUUAAAAUUAAUGGUAUAAAAUUCACAUAAUGCGAUAUCGGAUAAAUUGUUGACAGAUUUUUUUAUAUAUAACGCUUACAUUAUUUUUAAUGUUAUAAUAAGAAUAUAAUCAUGUAUUAUUUGUUUUUAUUUAUAUGCGUUUAUAUGAUUAACAAUGCGAUAGAUUUAGGAUACCUUCGGGACCCGUCUUGAAACACGGACCAAGAAGUCUAACAUGUGUGCAAGUCAUUGGGUAGAUACAAUUGUAAAAACCUAAAGGCAUAAUUAACUUAACUUUAUAUAUUUAAAUGGGAUUAUUUUAUGUUUAUAUAAAAUAUAGAAUCCAUCCCGGGGCGUUCUAUAUAGUUAUGUAUGUUAAUAUUUUUAAUAUUAUAUAUACCUCUAACUGGAGCGUACCUUUAGCAUAUAUGUUGUGACCCGAA
rnacentral:rRNA from 1 species